GUUCCGAUCAAACCGAACCGAUCAAACCGAGAUAUUCGGUUUGCGGCACCAAAUUUUAGAAGGGAAGUAAACCGAUCAGUAAGAUUAUUUUGGGAUUUCGGAAUUCGGGUUACUCGGUUCGGUAAUCGGUUACCGAUCGGUUUAUUUGGUUUAGGGGAACAAGAUAUAAAAACUAAAAACCCUAACCUAAUUCAUUUCAUCAAUACUAUCUAAUCUCUUUGGCGAGCCUCCUUCCACUCUCCUCUCUCCUUUUACGAUCUUGUUCUUCUUUCUUCUUCUCCUUCCUUCUUUUCUAUAUACUCUUCUGCAUCUUGAUCUUCUUCGUUUUCGUCUUUCUCCUCAUCUUCUCUUUGUUUCUUCUAAAUCAUAAGUUUUGAUAGGCACUCAACAACGAUAACUACUACCAAGAAUUUCCCUCAACCAAUCCGCCGUCGAUGAACUUACUGACAUAAGUGAUAUUGCGAGAGACAGACUCAUCCUCGUUCAACACAACCUCGAUUAAAGCUAGAAUAAGACAGUCGGAGCUUACCGUCGCUGAGACCGCCGCGCACAGUCGAUCAUGCAGCCACACUUAUUUUUGUCAAAACCCUAAUAUUUUAUUGGGUUGGGCUAUAAACUGUAUGUUGGGUUUUUGUUAAAUGUAUAUUGGGCUUUUUAUCUAAUUUGUAAUGGUUUUUUUAAUUGGAUUUGUAAUAGUGCAA